AAAAUUGGCUAAUAAAUGCAGCAUCAUCUCACUUGAUAUCAAUUCAAUGUUGUUGAAAUUUUAAAGCAUAUAAUAUUAGAGAUCAAUUACUUUGUCACAAAAUACAGGUCUUAAUAAUUGCAACAUCAAUUGUAAUAUAUUCUCCAUACAUAAAUCAAAACUCUGUUGUCAUAUUGUAACAUGACUAUAUGGUGAAAGAUGAUAAUAUGGAUCUUAUUAUAGAAGAGCCAAGUCAAAAGAAAAGGUAAAAAAUUUUGGAUAAAAGAU
rnacentral:lncRNA from 1 species